rnacentral:rRNA from 1 species
AUUGAACGCUGGCGGCAUGCUUUACACAUGCAAGUCGAACGGCAGCGCGGGGGCAACCCUGGCGGCGAGUGGCGAACGGGUGAGUAAUAUAUCGGAACGUACCCAGAAGUGGGGGAUAACGUAGCGAAAGUUACGCUAAUACCGCAUACGAUCUACGGAUGAAAGUGGGGGACCUUCGGGCCUCAUGCUUUUGGAGCGGCCGAUAUCUGAUUAGCUAGUUGGUGAGGUAAAGGCUCACCAAGGCGACGAUCAGUAGCUGGUCUGAGAGGACGACCAGCCACACUGGAACUGAGACACGGUCCAGACUCCUACGGGAGGCAGCAGUGGGGGAAUUUUGGACAAUGGGGGCAACCUGAUCCAGCAAUGCCGCGUG